rnacentral:rRNA from 1 species
AGAGAGCUUGCUCUCUUGGUGGCGAGUGGCGGACGGGUGAGGAAUACAUCGGAAUCUACCUUUUGGUGGGGGAUAACGUAGGGAAACUUACGCUAAUACCGCAUNCGCCCUUCGGGGGAAAGCCGGGGACCUUCGGGCCUGGCGCUGAUAGAUGAGCCGAUGUCGGAUUAGCUAGUUGGUGAGGUAAUGGCUCACCAAGGCGACGAUCCGUAGCUGGUCUGAGAGGAUGAUCAGCCACACUGGAACUGAGACACGGUCCAGACUCCUACGGGAGGCAGCAGUGGGGAAUAUUGGACAAUGGGCGCAAGCCUGAUCCAGCCAUACCGCGUGGGUGAAGAAGGCCUUCGGGUUGUAAAGCCCUUUUGUUGGGAAAGAAAAGCGAUCGGUUAAUACCCGGUUGUUCUGACGGUACCCAAAGAAUAAGCACCGGCUAACUUCGUGCCAGCAGCCGCGGUAAUACGAAGGGUGCAAGCGUUACUCGGAAUUACUGGGCGUAAAGCGUGCGUAGGUGGUGGUUUAAGUCCGUUGUGAAAGCCCUGGGCUCAACCUGGGAAUUGCAGUGGAUACUGGGUCACUACGAGUGUGGUAGAGGAUAGUGGAAUUUCCGGUGUAGCAGUGAAAUGCGUAGAGAUC